rnacentral:rRNA from 1 species
GACGAACGCUGGCGGCGUGCCUAACACAUGCAAGUCGAACGGGGCCCAACUGGUGGCAACACCAGGGAAGGCCCAGUGGCGAACGGGUGCGUAACACGUGAGCAACCCACCCCGAAGACCGGGAUAACACCGGGAAACCGGUGCUAAUACCGGAUGCCGUCUCCGGAUCGCAUGGUCUGGUGACGAAAGGAUUCCGCUUC